rnacentral:Y_RNA from 1 species
GGCCAGUCCGAGUGCAGUGAUAUUUACAACUAAUUGAUCACAACCAGUUACAGAUUUCUUUGUUCUUUCUCCACUCCCACUGCUUCAUUUAAAUAGCCUUUA